AUAAGCAAAAUGCUGCAGGGUGCCCGGCCGCUGUGAGGCGGCCGGGAGAAUAGGGAAACAGGUGCAAGACCUGUGCGGGACCGCCGCCGUAAGGGAACAGUUCCGGCUUCAAAACGUCACUGUGGGUACACACGGGAAGACGAAGCCGGGGCGCUGACGCCCAAGCCGGAAGACCUGCCCUGCGGCGAUGCUGCCG
rnacentral:ncRNA from 2 species